ensembl:lncRNA
GGUGGAGGUCCUGGAGGAGACGGUCCCGGCGGUGGAGGACGGCUGGGGGGUCCGGCGGUGGAGGUCCGAAGGCGGCUCGUGAUUAGACCAACCAGCUCCUCGUCCAUGGAAGCGUCCUCAAGGUGCAGGCGGUCAAACCUCCACCUCUUUGAAGACACCAAGCAGCUUGAUGACUGACUGGUUCUUUAUACUCAAGACCUCGUCCCGGAGCAGAGGACAGACCUAAGGCCUGCAGCGCAGCCGACUAGAGACUCCAUGUGGAACCGAUUCAAUAAAGUUGACCUCUCCUUCAGGCGACUUAAAGGGAGAGCAGAUGUGCGGCAGCUGGGUGUCGUGGUGCAGAGACCCAACGCUGCACUGAACUACACCAGUGUGUCCUACUCCCCAUAAACCCUGAGGAUCCCUGGCUACACCAGCACUUUAAUCCACACCCAACAUUAACACACAGUGCACACUCUAUAGAGCUCGUAAGUCCGCCCCUUGCGGCGGGACCUCGUGAGAUCGUAAGAUUUGACUUGGUUUCAAUGGAGAGAAGGUCAUUAUUUUCUCCAUUAUGUUGCACCACAUUUUGGGGGAAGAAUGUUUGAAUCAAUCUUUGUCAUUUAGUUCUGUACUCCACAUCUGUACUCCCAGCUGUUGUAUUUUAACACGGUAGCUGGCAACCCUCUUUAUAGGGAGCGACUAGAGGGACGAGGCUGGAAGCAAACCUGAGCCUGGAUCUUAACCUUCUUUCUAAACCUAAUGCCGCAAUUUAACCGCAAAUAAAGUGAGGCCUAAAGUAACUUGCCUCUCUUACCUAAACUUGCUUGCCUAAACUCGCUUGUCUAAACUCGCUUGCAUAAAACCUAAACUCGCUUGCAUAAAACCUGAACUUGCUUGGCUAAACUCGCGUCGCUUGCCUAAUACCUGAACUUACUUGCCUAAACUCGCUUGCCUAAUACCUGAACUCGCUUGCCUAAUGCCUGAACUCGCUUGCCUAAACUCGCUUGCCUAAUACCUGAACUCGCUUGCCUAAUACCUGAACUCGCUUGCCUAAUGCCUGAACUCGCUUGCCUAAUACCUGAACUCGCUUGCAUAAACUUGCUUGCCUAAACUCACUUGCCUAAUACCUGAACUCGCUUGCAUAAAACCUAAACUCGCUUAGCUUGACUCGCUUGCCUAAACUGGCUUGCAUAAAACCUAAACUCGCUUGCAUAAAACCUAAACUCGCUUAGCUUGACUCGCUUGCCUGUACUCGCUUGGCUAAACUGGCUUGCAUAAAACCUAAACUCGCUUGCAUAAAACCUAAACUCGCUUAUAGCUUGACUCGCUUGCCUGUAGUCGCUUGGCUAAACUCGCUUGCCUAAUACCUGAAGUCGCUUGCCUAAACUCGCUCCAAACACGUUACACAAAGUUAACCAUCCAUAAUCUUUAACCCAAACCAGACUUGUCCCUGGGUCGCUCCACUUUAAUCUAGAAGUUUCUUCUUUUACCUCGUCUGCGUUUUGAGUUUCGUUCUUUGAGGACUUGAAGUGCUUUGGAGGAUAUUUGAACCAUUGUUUGCCACAUCAAUAAACCUGCUUUAUCUUUACCCACCUCUUCAUGAAGCAGAAUGUGUGUGAAUGUUGUCCCGUGAGCUCCAGGCUCUCUGUGGGCCUGUCAACGUCUCUUUAGCAAAAGGUUGGAGAGUGAAAUUCAUUUGUGCCAUUUUCAUGUGUUCCUGAGUAUUUCAGACCUGUGGUGUUUCACAUGAGACCUUAAUGUGAACUUUCCUUUUUCUGCCUGCAUACGUAAUGCCUACAUUAGUAGGGUGAUCACUGUUGAUCCCAAUAUUGAUCAUUAACCACCUCAUUCUUUUAUGUUUUUUUUCGAUGAGGAUUACAAAUCAUGUAAUUUAUGAGUAUAUUUGCAAAUGGCUCCAAAUAUCAGAUUGUGUAAAAACUAAUGAAAUGUAACCUGCUUGAUUUAAAGAAAAUAAAACAUCCAAAUAUUA